CCCUCGUACAUGAUUCUGGACACACUCCGGGAGGAACUAGCACGUCAUCAUAAUGCUGCACUCAACCUGGAGGUCAACCUUAACCUGUGGCUUCCGUUACCCAGUUGUCAAUCCCUGAGUAUUUAAACUCUUAGAUGUUGACCGUUCAAGUUAUGGAGUUUGCUAAGUUUUAAGUUGUACCCUAAAAGUCUGUUAAGAUUGAUGUGUAUGUAAUCCGUUUAGUUUCUCAUGUUUUCGUUAUACGCCCGACCUUGAGGGCUGGGUCUGUAUGUGUAUACGUACAUGGCUAUCUUCAGACGCACGUC